rnacentral:pre_miRNA from 1 species
UCUCCGGGGCGGUGGAAGGAGCCGGUAGCUGUGCAGCCCGCUGUCCGACAGCGCUGCUGAGCUCACGGCACCGACCACCGUGCGCGGCCU